CACAUUCCCUAGAAGGUAAUCAUGCUCUCAAAAUCAGCAUUUCCCCUACAUUUUAACAUAAAUUACUAAAGAGGGUGAGAUCAGUGUUUUUUAAAAAAACUCAAUACAAAACACCUGGGGUGAAUAUGGUGUUCCUAAAUUUUUUUUCUCCAUUUUCCUAGUGGUGUACAUAGAAUUGAGUAUGAUCUUCUGAGGUCUCUAAGGGAGCUGGUUGUUAAACAUUAGCAGCCACACCAGUAUUGCUUAACCCCAAGAGGUGAUUCUGAAACCAGCGUUCAGAGUUUCAGUAACUUAUUGAAGGUCACACAGCUACUGAGUAGAGAGUCGGAUUGCAAAGCCCAGAUAUUUGGGCCUUAGAAUCUGUUCUCAGCUGUUAUGUGUAACAGAGAGGCACUGGGCUUGGGGUCUCCUUGGCAGAGUGGUUUUUAGUAGGUAUGCUUUGAUCUCUGCAGAUGUGGGUUAUUUGGGAAGGGGUAAAGGGGAAGCUCUUAGGCAAGGAUUCAAUACAUAAUAGUCUAAUGUUAUCCCCCCAUCCCCUAAGUAAAAUUUUCUCUCAUCUGUAAAAAGGGUAAACUCAAGUGGCUGCAAGACUAAAUGAGGUGUAUUAAAAACUUUGCAGACAGUGAAGCCUAUACAGACCCUAGGUCCCAGCCAUUAAGUUGAAAGAGGAGAAAGCAGGAGUCAUCCCUGGGGGCAGUGAGGUGCCCUGGAGGGUCCUCUCCCUGCUCAGCCUGGGUGGUGAGUCUCUCACAAGCCCUCUGGGCUGAAGUCACUGAGGGGUGGCUCUUGAUUUAGGCCUUCUCAGCUAGAAACUGCCCUGUCAGUAAAGACUGACUCAGUGAUGACCUCAGCCUUCAGACACUGGUUCCUCAGGAGGAUCUAAAACAAGGGACAGAAGAUGACCGAGUCCAUAUCUCAUCACCAGUCCCCCAGACGAGAACAUACAGGGAGGAUCCUUCGUGUUCUAGUUGGUGCCGGCAUCGUCCAAGAGGUUCCCUUUCCUGUCCUGGGUUCAGCGCUUCUCUGCGAAGUGAGGGGAUUGAACUACACCCUCCAGAAUCCCUUCCAGGGCCGACCUCUGUGAUGUGAUGGUAAUAAAAACAAAACAAAACCCAGGAACUUCUGAUCCUUCUUUGUGAUCUUGUGCAUGUUUGUAACAUUGCAAGAGGGCACCACCAUCAGGCAUCACAACAGAAGCACUGUGUCCAGAGAAGAAGAGACCUUCCUCUUGAUUAUUAGGGGGGGACCUUUCUCAGGAGGCCCCAGCAGACUUCACGUCUCAGCUGCCACUGGCCAGUUGGGUCUCAUGUGGCAAAGGAGCUUGGAAAGCUGAUAUGAGAAGAUGUAAGAAUUUGGGCUCAUCAAAUCUUCUCCUGAAAAUAUCGAACUAUCUGAAGGCCUGUUCUGCCAGUUUUCCCAGAGCACGGAGGGCCUCCUUCCUGAUCUCCACUCUGAACUCCGUUCAGCGGAUGUUGAAGGAAGAUUCUAAUGCCAUCCCAGAUGACACCGUGCUAAAUGGAUGGAAUGGAAAGUGUUGGCAGUGAAGAAAGCAGAAAGGAGGAAAAAGGUGGACUGUAAAAUAAUUCCAGUUUCUACAGAAAAUAACUUCCUCAUCAGAGAAGGAAUUCCAUAAAUAAUUGAGAAAGCUGACGGAACAUUUAAAAUAGCUGAAGGAAAAACACGCACAUUCAAUGUGAGCCUCGACCCUGCAGUGAUGGUUAGAUCUGAGAAGUACGUUGCAGGCGUUUGGGAGUAAUGGGUGUCAUGGAGGCGUCAUAUUCAAAGCCGUUAAAAAUAACCCACUCCCUGAGAAAUAAACACCUAGCCUAAGCCCUUAGGAAUUCUCAGAGAGGGACAGAAAUAGCUCCUGUAGUUCCCAUUGCUCUUUAAUUUCUACUCCUACUAUUUCAUUAUUCGUCAUUUCUGUGCAGUUUGCUUCGUCUAUUUAUUUAAAAUGCGAUUCCAGACGACAGGCAGCAGUCCCAGUGUUCUGUGUCUUGCAUAGCCCUUUCCACCCCGGGAAACAGAAAUUAUAUAACUUGUUUUCAGUUGUGCAGGCGGGGGAGGAUUCACAUGUUUGCUUUGGUGAGAUUCCAGGAAAUAAUUUUAAGUGUUUAUCUAAAGUUUAUUCAGACUGUCUUGAUCUAGAAGUUAGACAGGAAACCUAGCAGCAAACUGAAAGAAACCAGGCUCUGAAGAGGGGGAACUCUAAGUGUAGCCAGAAGGGUUGAACUGUGACACCCUGGGGUAUUCAUACCAUGGAAAGUGGGAGGCUUGAUUCGAGGGCUUAUGUGAUUUAGAAGCUGCGUCAGUAUCAAUAUUUGCUACCACUUCCUGUUGCUCAUCGGUCUGGUUGCUGUUGCUAUAUAAUAACCUGCCCUAACACUUCCUAAACUGGUAUAAACUGGUAUAAACUUUCACCUCGCUCAUGAUUUUGUGGGUGAGGAAUCUGGAAAGGGCUCGGCUGGGUGGCUCUUGCGGAGGUUGCAGUCAGAUGCUUGUCGUCUGCAGGAUUUACUGGGCUAGGUGUCCACGCAGGCUCCGUUACGUGGCUGACUGCUGGCUGUCCACUGGGAGCACUGAGAGCUUCGCCGGGUCGUUCCCUGGAACAUCUAUGUGUGGACUCUCCAUCAUGAUGAGCUGCGUUAGUCAGACUCCCUGCGUGGGAGCCGACCUCUCCCAGAGCAGGCAUCCCACGAGGGGAGGCAGAACCUGGAUGGCCUUCCCUGACCUAGCCACAGAGAGCACUUCCAUGGCACUCUAUUGGCCGAAGUGGCCACAAGUCCGCCCAGACUCAAUGGGAGAAGACAUGUCCUUCACCUCUUCACAGGAGGAGUGGGAAGGAAUUUGUGGCCAUUAAAAAAAUUCACACUCACAUAAAAACCAGACAUUACAUAAAAUAUUGGGUUGGCCAAAAAGUUCGUUUGGGUUUUUCUGUAAAAUCUUGGGAAAAUCACGAACGAACUUCUUAGCCAGCCCAAAAUAUAGCUUACUUAAUCCUCACAAAACCCUAUGAGGUAGGUACUAUUAUUGUUCAUGUUUUACAGAUAGGAAAUCGAGGUUCAGAGAGGUUAAGUUAUUUGCCGUAGGUUGCACAGCUAGUAAGAGGUUGAGUGGUACAUGAACCUACAACUGUCUGUCUCCAAACGUUUACUGUCUGUGUUGAGUUGCACAGUGUUUUAAAGGCUCAAACGUUGUCUCAGAUCUCAAUCAUUACAGCUAUUCUAGGCAACUGGAUAAUUCCACCCAGUCUAGAAUGCCAACACAUGAAGUGCCAGUUUGGGUAUCUUGUCAGUCCGUUUGAAGCAAGGAGCAUUCAUUUGAGGAUGUGGUCCUUUGCCCUGAGGUAGAGAGCUGCUCAGUCCCUUAUCCAGAGAUGGAAUCUGGCCUGUAUCACUCAAGUAGCCCAAGACAAAAGUAGGAUCUUGUGUGAUACUGGGGGAGGGGAGGGGAGGUUACAGUGGCUUCCCUGAGGUGGGUGGGUACAUGUGAAGCAGAUGUGGUAAUUAUAGGGGAGGACCCUGCAGCAGGGGUCUCAGCUGGUCAUUGGCCUGUCCAAUGUGAACUAUGCCAAGUGCCCGUGUGGCCACGUGGACAGAUAGAACCACAGAGCGUGCUCGGGGGCCUGCUUGGCUGAGAGCAGAGGCUGUCCUGAAGGUCCCAGAGACAGGCAGGCCUGGGCUGAGAGGGGACGAGAACAGAGCUUGACAGUCAGAGGAGGGCAGUGAGAAGACCCCAGGGGAGGGCCCUACCGAGCGCCUGCUGCCCGAGGCACACAGUUAUGAUUAUCCUCCCGUUUGUGGGUCGCCUGCCCCAGGGUGUGGGUCUCUGCUGGAAGGCAAAGACCUUGGGCGGUAAUUCUCCUUUUCUUCCUCAAUCUUUUCCUUGCUUCUACUAUUUAAUAAAUAUUUGUGGAUAGCAUCCUGGGCCCCUGGAAAUAGAGUGACGAGCGAGUUAGGCAUCUUUGCCCUCAUGGAGCUUACAAUCUAGGUGGAGGAGCAGAGCCAUUAGAUUAAUAAUUACACAUGUAAUACCUGAUGACCAAGUGAUAAGUUCUGAGAGAGACUUCUAACUGCCCCCUCCCCAUCCACUCUGCUCUUUUUAGCAGUGGAGUCGCCUAGAAUAGUAGCAGGGUAUGUGGCUAUAAACUAUCAAUAAAUUUCCCAGCCUCCGACGCAGCUAGGAGUGGUCAUGUGAGUCAGUUCAGGCUAAUAAAAGUGAUGGGUGUCACUUCCAUGUCCUGUCCUUAAAAUGAAGACUGGUUGCCCUAUAUCUUUCCCCUGCUCCUUCCCACUAGCAGGUAAAUAGUAGCAAUUUGAGCAGAUACCUUGGACCUAGAGAUGGAAGUUUUCCAUGGAGGAUGGUCUUGCCAGUUUUUGUCCCCUAUUAUUAUAAUGACAGAUUAGCUUUUACCCUAAACGAAUACCACAGUAGUUGUAUGAAAAAGUAUAGUGUGAAAUGAGAUACCCCUACACGCCUAUUAGAAUGGCCAAAGUCCAGAACACUGACAACACCAAAUGCUGGCGAGGA